UACCCGCAGCUCAAGUGGUGGCCACUAUUAUUGAGCCUAAAGCGUCCGUAGCCGGUCUUGUAAAUCUCUGGGUAAAUCCCAUCGCUUAACGGUGGGAAUUCUGGAGAGACUGCAAGACUAGGGAUCGGGUGAGGUAAGAGGUACUCCUGGGGUAGGGGUAAAAUCCUGUAAUCCUGGGGGGACGACCGGUGGCGAAGGCGUCUUACUAGAACGACUCCGACGGUGAGGGACGAAGGCUAGGGGAGCAAACCGG
rnacentral:rRNA from 1 species